rnacentral:tRNA from 1 species
AUCUUCUUAGUUUAUUAAAACAUUAAAUUGCAAAUUUAAAAAUUUAUUAAGAAAUCACUGAUGAUG